UACACUCCUACGGGAGGCAGCAGUGGGGAAUAUUGCACAAUGGGCGCAAGCCUGAUGCAGCCAUGCCGCGUGUAUGAAGAAGGCCUUCGGGUUGUAAAGUACUUUCAGCGGGGAGGAAGGCAAUACGGUUAAUAACCGUGUUGAUUGACGUUACCCGCAGAAGAAGCACCGGCUAACUCCGUGCCAGCAGCCGCGGUAAUACGGAGGGUGCAAGCGUUAAUCGGAAUUACUGGGCGUAAAGCGCACGCAGGCGGUCUGUCAAGUCGGAUGUGAAAUCCCCGGGCUCAACCUGGGAACUGCAUUCGAAACUGGCAGGCUUGAGUCUGGUAGAGGGGGGUAGAAUUCCAGGUGUAGCGGUGAAAUGCGUAGAGAUCUGGAGGAAUACCGGUGGCGAAGGCGGCCCCCUGGACAAAGACUGACGCUCAGGUGCGAAAGCGUGGGGAGCAAACAGGAUUAGAUACCCGGGUAGUCC
rnacentral:rRNA from 1 species